GGCACUGGAUCCCGCGCGGCGCGCAUCCUGUGAACUCCCCCAGGGCCGGAAGGCAGCAAGGGUCAAUGGGCUCUGCCGGGUGCGCGGGGUCCCCUUAUUUUUC
rnacentral:SRP_RNA from 1 species